CUGACUGCUGCUUGCCAUCCAUACAACACC
rnacentral:piRNA from 1 species